UUAUCCUCUCAAGCCUAUUGGCUUAGAUCAAGUGUAGUAUCUGUUCUUAUCAGUUUGAAAACUGGUAUUCUUCCACCGGAAGAGUAUUAUUUUCAUUCUAAUUUUUUGCGCAGGGGGUUGUUGAUGGCUUGCCUAGACACCUCGUGGGUGUCCCUGGUAUUGUACUGCAUCCGGGUGACGUCCAGCCUCC
rnacentral:snRNA from 1 species